rnacentral:rRNA from 1 species
UACGUAGGGUGCAAGCGUUAAUCGGAAUUACUGGGCGUAAAGCGUGCGCAGGCGGUUCGGAAAGAGAGGUGUGAAAUCCCAGGGCUUAACCUUGGAACUGCACUUCUAACUACCGGGCUAGAGUACGUCAGAGGGGGGUAGAAUUCCACGUGUAGCAGUGAAAUGCGUAGAGAUGUGGAGGAAUACCGAUGGCGAAGGCAGCCCCCUGGGCUAACACUGACGCUCAGGCACGAAAGCGUGGGGAGCAAACAGG